UAGGGAAUCUUCCGCAAUGGGCGAAAGCCUGACGGAGCAACGCCGCGUGAGUGAUGAAGGUCUUCGGAUCGUAAAACUCUGUUAUUAGGGAAGAACAAAUGUGUAAGUAACUAUGCACGUCUUGACGGUACCUAAUCAGAAAGCCACGGCUAACUACGUGCCAGCAGCCGCGGUAAUACGUAGGUGGCAAGCGUUAUCCGGAAUUAUUGGGCGUAAAGCGCGCGUAGGCGGUUUUUUAAGUCUGAUGUGAAAGCCCACGGCUCAACCGUGGAGGGAUAGUGGAAUCUGGAAAUCUUGAGUGCAGAAGAGGAAAGUGGAAUUCCAUGUGUAGCGGUGAAAUGCGCAGGGAUAUGGAGGAACACCAGUAGCGAAGGCGACUUUCUGGUCUGCAACUGACGCUGAUGUGCGAAAGCGUGGGGAUCAAACAGG
rnacentral:rRNA from 1 species